rnacentral:misc_RNA from 1 species
UGGCUCUCGCAUCGAUGAAGAACGCAGCGAAAUGCGAUAAGUAAUGUGAAUUGCAGAAUUCAGUGAAUCAUCGAAUCUUUGAACGCACCUUGCACCCUUUGGUAUUCCGAAGGGUACACCCGUUUGAGUGUCAUUGUAAUCUCACUACUAUCAUUUUGGUGAUUGUAUGUGGACCUGGAUGCUGCCGUGUUGCAAACGGCUCGUCUAAAAUGCUUGAGUGUACCCUGCUUUGCAGUGUAUUCGGUGUAAUACAGCUUCACCGGAGUCUGAUCCUUUGGGAUCACAUCUGCAUAUGUAAGGCUCUAUGCUACCAACGGUCUUGACCAGACAAUAUCUGACAAUUUGACCUCAAAUCGGGUGGGACUACCCGCUGA